UACGUAGGGUGCGAGCGUUGUCCGGAAUUACUGGGCGUAAAGAGCUCGUAGGUGGUUUGUCGCGUUGUCCGUGAAAACUCACAGCUUAACUGUGGGCGUGCGGGCGAUACGGGCAGACUGGAGUACUGCAGGGGAGACUGGAAUUCCUGGUGUAGCGGUGGAAUGCGCAGAUAUCAGGAGGAACACCGGUGGCGAAGGCGGGUCUCUGGGCAGUAACUGACGCUGAGGAGCGAAAGCGUGGGGGAGCGAACAGG
rnacentral:rRNA from 1 species